rnacentral:rRNA from 1 species
AUUGAACGCUGGCGGCAGGCCUAACACAUGCAAGUCGAGCGAGCGGCGGACGGGUGAGUAAUGUCUGGGAAACUGCCUGAUGGAGGGGGAUAACUACUGGAAACGGUAGCUAAUACCGCAUACCAUCAGAUGUGCCCAGAUGGGAUUAGCUCGUAGGUGAGGUAACGGCUCACCAAGGCCACGAUGCAUAGCCGACCUGAGAGGAGGACCAGCCAAACUGGAACGGAGACACGGUCCAGACGCCUACGGGAGGAAGCAGUGGGGAAUAUUGCACAAUGGGCGCAAGCCUGAUGCAUCCAUGCCGCGUGUGUGAAGAAGGCCGUCGGGUUGUAAAGCACUUUCAGCGGGGAGGCGUUACCCGCAGAAGAAGCACCGGCUAACUCCGUGCCAGCAGCCGCGGUAAUUC